rnacentral:rRNA from 1 species
GACGAACGCUGGCGGCGUGCUUAACACAUGCAAGUCGAACGGAAAGGCCCCUUUGGGGGUACUCGAGUGGCGAACGGGUGAGUAACACGUGAGUAACCUGCCCUUGACUUCGGGAUAACUUCAGGAAACUGGGGCUAAUACCGGAUAGGAAUCCUUGCUGCAUGGUGGGGGUUGGAAGGCUUCGGCGGUUUUGGAUGGACUCGCGGCUUAUCAGCUUGUUGGUGGGGUAGUGGCUUACCAAGGCUUUGACGGGUAGCCGGCCUGAGAGGGCGACCGGCCACAUUGGGACUGAGAUACGGCCCAGACUCCUACGGGAGGCAGCAGUGGGGAAUAUUGCACAAUGGGCGGAAGCCUGAUGCAGCAACGCCGCGUGCGGGAUGACGGCCUUCGGGUUGUAAACCGCUUUCAGCAGGGGCGAAGCUUGUGGUGACGGUACCUGCAGAAGAAGCACCGGCUAACUACGU